CUGCACUAGUCGGGGAGCCAGCGGUGCCCUGUUGCCUGCAAUCCGCUACAGCAGGGAUGAAGUCCCACCCCAGGAUAGUUGAUGUGUCGUCUGACCUAAGAAAGUGGUGUUGAAGACCUGGUCUUGCGCAACGGAAGCCUGUGAACCAUGUCAGGCGGGGAACCGAGCAGCAUUAAGCGGGUAGAUCUGUGUGCCGCAAGGUAGCCGGGUUCGAGCUAACUGCUUAGGUAACGGACAUAUCAAUUUACUCAAAGGUGGGUGUGCAG
rnacentral:SRP_RNA from 1 species